UAGGGAAUUUUUGCGCAAUGGGCGAAAGCCUGACGCAGCAACGCCGCGUGAUUGAUGAAGCCCUUCGGGGUGUAAAGAUCUGUCAGUAGGGACGAAUAAUGACUGUACCUACAGAGGAAGCACCGGCUAACUCCGUGCCAGCAGCCGCGGUAAUACGGAGGGUGCGAGCGUUGUCCGGAAUCAUUGGGCGUAAAGAGUUCGUAGGUGGCAUGUAAAGUCUGGUGUUAAAUUCAGGGGCUUAACUUCUGAACGGCACUGGAUACUUGCAAGCUAGAAUGCGGUAGAGGUAAAGGGAAUUCCUGGUGUAGCGGUGAAAUGCGUAGAUAUCAGGAGGAACAUCGGUGGCGUAAGCGCUUUACUGGGCCGUAAUUGACACUGAGGAACGAAAGCCGGGGUAGC
rnacentral:rRNA from 1 species